rnacentral:rRNA from 1 species
GACGAACGCUGGCGGCGUGCUUAACGCAUGCAAGUCGAACGGUAAGGCCCUUCGGGGUACACGAGUGGCGAACGGGUGAGUAACACGUGGGUGAUCUGCCCUGCACUUCGGGAUAAGCCUGGGAAACUGGGUCUAAUACCGGAUAGGACCACUGCCUGCAUGGGUGGUGGUGGAAAGCUUUUGCGGUGUGGGAUGGGCCCGCGGCCUAUCAGCUUGUUGGUGGGGUGAGGGCCUACCAAGGCGACGACGGGUAGCCGGCCUGAGAGGGUGACCGGCCACACUGGGACUGAGAUACGGCCCAGACUCCUACGGGAGGCAGCAGUGGGGAAUAUUGCACAAUGGGCGCAAGCCUGAUGCAGCGACGCCGCGUGAGGGAUGACGGCCUUCGGGUUGUAAACCUCUUUCAGCACCGACGAAGCGCAAGUGACGGUAGGUGCAGAAGAAGGACCGGCCAACUACGUGCCAGCCGCCGCGGUAA